AGUGAACGCUGGCGGUAGGCCUAGCACAUGCAAGUCGAACGGCAGCACAGUAAGAGCUUGCUCUUACGGGUGGCGAGUGGCGGACGGGUGAGGAAUACAUCGGAAUCUACUUUUUCGUGGGGGAUAACGUAGGGAAACUUACGCUAAUACCGCAUACGACCUACGGGUGAAAGCAGGGGAUCUUCGGACCUUGCGCGAUUGAAUGAGCCGAUGUCGGAUUAGCUAGUUGGCGGGGUAAAGGCCCACCAAGGCGACGAUCCGUAGCUGGUCUGAGAGGAUGAUCAGCCACACUGGAACUGAGACACGGUCCAGACUCCUACGGGAGGCAGCAGUGGGGAAUAUUGGACAAUGGGCGCAAGCCUGAUCCAGCCAUACGGCGUGGGUGAAGAAGGCCUUCGGGUUGUAAAGCCCUUUUGUUGGGAAAGAAAAGCAGCAGGUUAAUACCCCGCUGUUCUGACGGUACCCAAAGAAUAAGCACCGGCUAACUUCGUG
rnacentral:rRNA from 1 species